rnacentral:lncRNA from 1 species
AGGAAAAGACCUUCUCCACAGUGACCAGGCUGGUUCACCCCAGGGCUUCACCUGCUUUCUCUCAUCAACAGUGGGAAGCCUCCUACAGUGUUUAAGAGAUUUAAAACACGCUUCCUCGGGGUGACAGAGUUAAUAAGCCAGACGGCAGGACGUCAAAGCCUCCUAUCUCAUUUGAUAAUCUGAGUCCCAUUUAAAGCAGGAGAUUGGACUUUGGUGCACAUAAUUGCAACUCCACCCCCACCCCCUGCCGCCGCCUCAGGAGUACUGAACAGGAACAUUCCAAGAGGAAAAGGGGCCAUACUGAACAUUUCUUGUGGGCUUGAGUAGUUUAGAAAGGUAGGCAAAAGGAGCAUUUGUUUUUUACUUUUUCAAUUCCAAUUGAUACUAUUUUAGUGAUGUUUAAUGGAUAAAACCCUGGGCAUGCUUUCUUUCUGGCAUCAGUCAAAGGCUUGACCUGAUUAUGCCCCCUGCC